rnacentral:rRNA from 1 species
AUUGAACGCUGGCGGCAUGCCUUACACAUGCAAGUCGAACGGUAACGGGCCUUCGGGUGCCGACGAGUGGCGAACGGGUGAGUAAUACAUCGGAACGUACCCUGUAGUGGGGGAUAACUACUCGAAAGAGUAGCUAAUACCGCAUACAACCUGAGGGUAAAAGUGGGGGACCGCAAGGCCUCACGCUAUAGGAGCGGCCGAUGGAAGAUUAGGUAGUUGGUAGGGUAAAGGCCUACCAAGCCGACGAUCUUUAGCGGGUCUGAGAGGACGAUCCGCCACACUGGGACUGAGACACAGCCCAGACUCCUACGGGAGGCAGCAGUGGGGAAUUUUGGACAAUGGGCGAAAGCCUGAUCCAGCAAUGCCGCGUGAGUGAAGAAGGCCUUCGGGUUGUAAAGCUCUUUUGUUUGGGAAGAAAUCCCUAAGGAUAAUACCCUUGGGGGAUGACGGUACCAAAAGAAUAAGCACCGGCUAACUACGUGCCAGCCGCCGCCGUAAGAC